AGAGGAUGAGGAAAUGAUUGGCAGUGCUUUUCUCCAUAUCCUGAAGAGAGAAAGAAACACUGUAACUGCAGCAGAGACCAGAACUCAGUCACUUAUAGCCUAGUUGGGGUGGACCUCUUUGUUGGCUUACCUCUACAAUCUUGUUUUUCUGUGGUUCAUUGACCCUGCCAGCCAGGCAGCAGCGAGUGAUGGCAUUAUGGAUGAUGAACUUGUUGGACUUAAAGGCAGGGGAGGAAAUGGUGGAGCCAUUCUCCCAGUCUCUCUCUCCGUUCAUAGCCGUCGAUCGUCCUGGUGACAUUAGCCGGGAAGGAGAGUGUGAACGGCUAGAGGAAGACACAAAAGAUAAGUCGUUAUUAGACCUUGAGGCUGUGUGCCUACGCUCGUAUAAUAUUGAUUGAUAUACAAACCUACAAACAGUAAAGUCACUAACAAUAUUGAAAACUUUGUCUUUGAUAUUCUGGCAAUAUUUUAUAUUUUACUCCACUAAAUAAAAGUCUAGUCUCAUAUAAUGAAAACAAUUUAUAGUCAUGGAGCUCAUUUAAAAAAAAAAAAUUAUAGUAAAUUUGCUUAUAUCUAUGGGACUUCAAAUAAUAGUGACAAUGUUUUUGGCUCAUUACUUCCUCUCAUGCCUCUCAAUGUGCAGGUUACCUGGGAGACUUCCUAAUCGACAGGCCUCCAGAGUCAUGCGCCAUGGAUGACAGGUUCAUGGUGGAGUGGGAGUACACUUUGUUCAGCCUGGUGCCUAGAUGAGGGAAGACAGGAUGAAAACAGGGGAAAUUACACUAAGAAUCGAAAAGCAUGGCUGUGAGAGAGUACCGAGUCAUCUCUGAACACAGUCUUGGGUCUCUGCUUCUUGACACCGCGAACCGUGGUGGGUUUCUGCCUCAGCACCUUGUCCAAGUCUUCCAUGAUCUUCAG